AUUAAACGCUGGCGGCAUGCCUUACACAUGCAAGUCGAACGGCAGCACGGGGGCAACCCUGGUGGCGAGUGGCGAACGGGUGAGUAAAGCAUCGGAACGUGCCCUGGAGUGGGGGAUAACGUAGCGAAAGUUACGCUAAUACCGCAUAUUCUGUGAGCAGGAAAGCAGGGGAUCGCAAGACCUUGCGCUCUGGGAGCGGCCGAUGUCGGAUUAGCUAGUUGGUGGGGUAAAGGCCUACCAAGGCGACGAUCCGUAGCGGGUCUGAGAGGAUGAUCCGCCACACUGGGACUGAGACACGGCCCAGACUCCUACGGGAGGCAGCAGUGGGGAAUUUUGGACAAUGGGCGAAAGCCUGAUCCAGCCAUGCCGCGUGAGUGAAGAAGGCCUUCGGGUUGUAAAGCUCUUUCGGUGGGGAAGAAAUUGCAUGGGCUAAUACCCUGUGUAGAUGACGGUACCUGGAGAAGAGAGCACCGGCUA
rnacentral:rRNA from 1 species